rnacentral:lncRNA from 1 species
ACGAUGUCGGUGUUCGACGCUGCUAUCGUCAACACGGAGCUUUCGAAACCGACGUCGAUCUUCGGUCUCCGGCUAUGGGUCGUCAUCGGAAUCCUACUCGGAUCCCUAAUCGUCAUCGCCCUCUUCCUCCUCUCCCUCUGCCUCACCUCCCGCCGCAAAAACCGCAAACCGCGAGCCGACUUCGCCUCCGCCGCCGUGGCAACGCCGCCGAUUUCGAAGGAGAUUAAGGAGAUCGUUCCGGCGCCGGCGGAGAUCCAGGUGGACAUAGGGAAGAUGGAGCACAGAGUGGUGUUCUCGGAUCGAGUGUCGAGCGGGGAGAGCAGAGGAACGGCGAGUGCGAGCGAGACGGCGUCGUAUUCGGGGAGCGGGAACGUGGGGCCGGAGGUGUCGCAUCUGGGAUGGGGGAGGUGGUAUACUCUGAGGGAGCUCGAGGCGGCCACGAAUGGGCUGUGUGAGGAGAAUGUGAUCGGAGAAGGCGGUUACGGGAUAGUGUAUCGUGGGGUGUUAACCGACGGUACUAAAGUCGCAUCGCGUCGUCAUUGAUUGAUGCAUUUACCCCCAAACCAAAAGCGUUCCUCCAGCACAUCAACAACAACGUCUGCUUACUCGAGAAGGGUAACAACGUCAUUUGAAUAAAAUCACUCUCACCGUCAGACCAUAGAUAUUAUUAUUACAUGGAGACAGAAACUCAAAAGGACAGCUCAUCCCACAGACACAAGUUCACUGGAAACCCCUCUUCUUUAAAUUCCAUUUCCUUUCAUUUAAUUUUAAUUAAUCUCUUCUGUUCUUUUUCCUAGAUUCCGUGAUUUCGAUUCAACACUCGAUGCGGUGACAAUUAUAGAUUUGUUUUUGCGAAGAAACAGGAAACGAUGUCGGUGUUCGACGCUGCUAUCGUCAACACGGAGCUUUCCAAACCGACGUCGAUCUUCGGUCUCCGGCUAUGGGUCGUCAUCGGAAUCUUACUCGGAUCUCUAAUCGUCAUCGCCCUCUUCCUCCUCUCCCUCUGCCUCACCUCCCGCCGCAAAAACCGCAAACCGCGAGCCGACUUCGCCUCCGCCGCCGUGGCAACGCCGCCGAUUUCGAAGGAGAUUAAGGAGAUCGUUCCGGCGCCGGCGGAGAUCCAGGUGGACAUAGGGAAGAUGGAGCACAGAGUGGUGUUCUCGGAUCGAGUGUCGAGCGGGGAGAGCAGAGGAACGGCGAGUGCGAGCGAGACGGCGUCGUAUUCGGGGAGCGGGAACGUGGGGCCGGAGGUGUCGCAUCUGGGAUGGGGGAGGUGGUAUACUCUGAGGGAGCUCGAGGCGGCCACGAAUGGGCUGUGUGAGGAGAAUGUGAUCGGAGAAGGCGGUUACGGGAUAGUGUAUCGUGGGGUGUUAACCGACGGUACUAAAGUCGCCGUCAAGAACUUGCUUAAUAACAGGUAAACAAAUUGAUCCAUUACUCAUUUCUAGAUUUAUGUGUAGAGCCCGAGGGAGAUGAGUGACAGCGAUCAGAGUCAAUUCACUGCCGUGCGUAUGAUUGUGGUCCUUGAAAGUUGUUGUUUUUGUUAUUGAAUUCAUCAUAUGUAUAGAUGAUGAUGUCAUGCGUCACAUGUGGUUUUGAUGACUAAUAAGUAAAUACUAUGCUUUUGGAUUUAGAUCUCUCUAUAUCAAGUGUAAGAUUUGUAAGUGUUUCUUAUAAUAAUUAUUACAGGGGACAGGCAGAGAAGGAAUUCAAAGUAGAAGUGGAAGUGAUUGGGCGUGUACGGCACAAGAAUCUCGUUAGGCUUUUAGGUUAUUGCGUUGAAGGUGCUUACAGGUAAAAUGCUGAUGCUCAUUUCUCCUUCUUUUUUUUUUUUAAUUUGGGAAGAAACCAAUGUUGUGAUCUGAUGUGUGAGUUCUGUCUACUUACAGGAUGCUAGUGUAUGACUUUGUGGAUAAUGGCAAUUUGGAGCAAUGGAUUCACGGUGAUGUUGGUGAUGUGAGCCCUCUAACUUGGGAUAUUCGUAUGAACAUCAUACUAGGGAUGGCUAAAGGGUAAUUUUUUUAUAAUUAUUUUAAGUAAAAAUAGAUUCAUCUCUAUGUUUGUAACAUUGUAAAUAUUUGGUGUAGAUUGGCGUAUCUACACGAGGGUCUUGAACCAAAAGUGGUACAUCGGGAUAUAAAAUCGGGGAAUAUAUUGCUUGAUCGCCAAUGGAAUGCUAAGGUUUCGGAUUUUGGACUUGCUAAGCUCUUGGGUUCCGACAGCAGUUAUGUGACCACCCGUGUCAUGGGAACCUUCGGGUAAAACUCUCUCCUCCUGAAUCAUCAUGCUAUAAAAGCCUUUAUAAAUCUGAAUCUUUAGGAAAUAACUUGUCACUUGUUCAGUUAUGUAGCGCCGGAAUAUGCAUGCACCGGAAUGUUAAACGAGAAGAGUGACAUCUACAGCUUUGGAAUAUUAAUCAUGGAGAUCAUCACUGGUAGAAACCCUGUUGAUUAUAGUCGCCCUCAAGGAGAGGUAUGUGUUUAUUGGUGGAUUCUUACACCCUCCUUGUUUCUAUUCCCUCUAUGUUUUUCUUAUACAUGUUUUUUUUUUCUCUGUGUGUGGGGUUUAUAGACGAAUCUAGUGGACUGGCUGAAAACAAUGGUAGGAAACCGAAGAUCAGAAGAAGUAGUUGAUCCCAAAAUAGCGGAACCACCAUCAUCGAAGGCUCUUAAACGAGUGUUGCUCGUUGCUUUGCGUUGUGUUGAUCCAGAUGCAAACAAGAGACCUAAAAUGGGACAUAUCAUUCAUAUGCUUGAAGCUGAAGACUCACUCUAUCGCGAUGUAAGCCAUUUUUUUUGUCUUUAUUAUAUUUUUUAUGAGUUAAAAUAAUUGUCUAAUGGUGAGACGAUGUUUUUUUUUGCAGGAACGCCGAACAACGAGGGACCAUGGAAACAGAGAUAAGCAAGAGACAGCGGCUACUGAAAGCGGGGAGAGCGGCUCGCGGCAUCACCAGCAAAAGCUAAGAUGAACAAAAGGAUCAUCAUUUUAAGUGACUUUGCUUCUCACACACGACCAAUUCCCACUUCAAUUGAUUCUUAUUAUUAUUAGUUUUGUGUCACAUUCACAUACAUAAAUAUUUUUCAUUCUUUGGCUCUUGAGUUACGUCUAAUUAACCUUUUUGUUUUUCCUUUUUGUAAUAUUUUGUCAACGUUCACAUAUCACAUGUCAUAUAUAUAUAUAUAAAAAUUGGAGUAUAAAAUGUAAUUGUUUUGGACCAACAUCGACGCUAUGUGCGUGCCGUUGCAUAACACGAUUGGUGGAUGGAUCAAAACUUAUCGCUUUAAGAACCGGUAUGGGUGCCCACAGGAUGCUUUAAGCUCGCGUGAUUGUGUUUCUAAACAAUUUAAGUAUUGUCGUGUGUAUGACCCCACUCCACUAGAUUAUGGACCUAAUGUAUAUGCGACUAUGAUCUUUAAAAUUUCCAAGUUGCAGUAAUUUUAAAUAGAUUAAAAUUUUAUAAUGAAAUUGGAUGACUAGCUUGUGAACACAAGAUAAGAGCACAGUCGUCACCCGAGCGACGACUCUGGAGUCUCUUCACGUGUAGGAGAAAAACUAAGAGGUAGACGACAUACAAUUUGAUAAAGGGUGAAAGAAAAUAUCGUGGUUCCAUUAUGUUCCAGACAUGAUUUGAUCAUUUUGAGAUUUCAUUAUCCAGGACCUUUGUUACCUAGCAGCUUGGCGUCCCAAACCACUUGGUUUGGUACCUUACUCGGAUCUCUAAUCGUCAUCGCCCUCUUCCUCCUCUCCCUCUGCCUCACCUCCCGCCGCAAAAACCGCAAACCGCGAGCCGACUUCGCCUCCGCCGCCGUGGCAACGCCGCCGAUUUCGAAGGAGAUUAAGGAGAUCGUUCCGGCGCCGGCGGAGAUCCAGGUGGACAUAGGGAAGAUGGAGCAC